rnacentral:rRNA from 1 species
AUUGAACGCUGGCGGCAUGCCUUACACAUGCAAGUCGAACGGCAGCAUGAUCUAGCUUGCUCGAUUGAUGGCGAGUGGCGUACGGGUGAGUAAUACAUCGGAACGUGCCCUGUAGUGGGGGAUAACUAGUCGAAAGAUUAGCUAAUACCGCAUACGACCUGAGGGUGAAAGUGGGGGACCGCAAGGCCUCAUGCUAUAGGAUCGGCCGAUGUCUGAUUAGCUAGUUGGUGAGGUAAAGGCUCACCAAGGCGACGAUCAGUAGCUGGUCUGAGAGGACGAUCAGCCACACUGGGACUGAGACACGGCCCAGACUCCUACGGGAGGCAGCAGUGGGGAAUUUUGGACAAUGGGCGAAAGCCUGAUCCAGCAAUGCCGCGUGUGUGAAGAAGGCCUUCGGGUUGUAAAGAACUUUUGUCCGGAAAGAAAUGGCUCUGGUUAAUACCUGGGGUCGAUGACGGUACCGGAAGAAUAAGGACCGGCUAACUACGUG